UACGAAGGGGGCUAGCGUUGCUCGGAAUUACUGGGCGUAAAGGGCGCGUAGGCGGAUAGUUUAGUCAGAGGUGAAAGCCCAGGGCUCAACCUUGGAGUUGCCUUUGAUACUGGCUAUCUUGAGUUCGGAAGAGGUAAGUGGAAUGCCGAGUGUAGAGGUGAAAUUCGUAGAUAUUCGGCGGAACACCAGUGGCGAAGGCGACUUACUGGUCCGAUACUGACGCUGAGGCGCGAAAGCGUGGGGAGCAAACAGG
rnacentral:rRNA from 1 species